rnacentral:rRNA from 1 species
UACGGGGGGGGCAAGCGUUGUUCGGAAUUACUGGGCGUAAAGGGCUCGUAGGCGGCCAACUAAGUCAGACGUGAAAUCCCUCGGCUUAACCGGGGAACUGCAUCUGAUACUGGAUGGCUUGAGUUCGGGAGAGGGAUGCGGAAUUCCAGGUGUAGCGGUGAAAUGCGUAGAUAUGUGGAGGAACACCAGUGGCGAAGGCGACUCUCUGGUCUGUAACUGACGCUGAGGCGCGAAAGCGUGGGGAGCAAACAGG